rfam:Picea glauca, whole genome shotgun sequence.
AUGUAAAUUCUUACAACAUAUUGUUAAUGCAUCAGAUCCCAUUAGAACUCUGCAGUUAAGCACGCUUAGGCUAAAGUAGUACUGGGAUGGGUAACCUCCCUAGAAGUCCUAGUGUUUUACAUG